rnacentral:rRNA from 1 species
UGGGGAAUAUUGCACAAUGGGCGAAAGCCUGAUGCAGCGACGCCGCGUGCGGGAAGAAGGCCUUAGGGUUGUAAACCGCUUUCAAUUGGGAAGAAGAGAUGAGAGUUAAUACCUCUCUGAUUUGACGGUACCUUUAGAAGAAGCACCGGCUAAUUUCGUGCCAGCAGCCGCGGUAAUACGAAAGGUGCAAGCGUUGUUCGGAUUUACUGGGCGUAAAGAGAUCGUAGGUGGUUUGUUAAGUCGGAUGUGAAAUCCCGGGGCUCAACCCCGGAACUGCAUUCGAUACUGGCAGGCUAGAGUUUGGGAGGGGUAAGCGGAAUUCCGUGUGUAGCAGUGAAAUGCGUAGAUAUACGGAGGAACACCUGAGGCGAAGGCGGCUUACUGGACCAAUACUGACACUGAGGAUCGAAAGCGUGGGUAGCAAACA